GCCACGUGAUGAUACCCGGCUAGGGUGACUCGGCCGGCCCGGCUCAGUCCCGGGGCCCCGACCCAUUAACCGGGUCUGUAAUCUUGGCGGGCGCUGCAGAGCCGUGCGCGCUGGCUGUAAGGGCAGACCGACAGCAAGCCCCCGUCGCCCUCGGGGCCAGCUCCGAGCCAGGGACCCGGCAGCUGGGGCUGGGCGACGGGCACAGGGCAAGCCCUGGGGCUCGGGGUCGGGGGCCCGCGGCGGCUCAGCCUGGAGGGUGGUGGCCCCCGAGAGAUGAGCACUCAUCUUUGGUAAUCUGAUGGCU